CCCUUAGAUGUUCUGGGCCGCACGCGCGCUACACUGAUUCAUGCAACGAGUUUUGUCCUUGGCUGAAAGGCCUGGGUAAUCUUUGAACGUGAAUCGUGCUGGGGAUAGAUGAUUGCAAUUAUUCAUCUUCAACGAGGAAUUCCUAGUAAACGCAAGUCAUCAGCUUGCAUUGAUUACGUCCCUGCCCUUUGUACACACCGCCCGUCGCACCUACCGAUUGAAUGGUCCGGUGAAAUCUUCGGAUCUGAGAGAUGCUGGAUUAAUUUCUGACGCCUUUUGGAAAAGUCGCUUAAACCUUAUCAUUUAGAGGAAGGUGAAGUCGUAACA
rnacentral:rRNA from 1 species